rnacentral:rRNA from 1 species
UUAAAUUGAAGAGUUUGAUCAUGGCUCAGAUUGAAUGCUGGCGGCAGGCCUAACACAUGCAAGUCGAACGGUAACAGGAAACAGCUUGCUGUUUC